rnacentral:lncRNA from 1 species
GGAGACAGCGGAGGGGGCAGCGGUUGCAGCUUGUCCCCGGCCGCAGUCAGGCAGUCGCCCUGAGGUUCAGAGGAGGCAAGAAGGGCCAGGCGAGUUCCAGGCAGGGUCUUGAGGGUGCUGCUAGGGGAGGCGAACACAGCACCAAGUUAAAGCUCUCGUGGGUCAGAGACUCAUCAGGACCCCACCCUACCCCCUACCUCAACCCAAGAGUGCCAAACUGCAGAGCUGGCAAGUGGAAAGGACCCUCCCAGGAGGAGCUUGGUGCCCAAGUCCUGUCCCCGCCUCUCGCAUCCCUGGCCCAGGUUCCCAGAGAACGAAGAACGGCAGAAGACUGAACCCAGAAGUCAGAACAACAAUAACAACAACAAACGUCCUCGCUACCGCCUUUCACCAAGGAGACCUCUGACUAAUUUCCUCAUCCAAUUUCCUUUUCACAUUACUGUUGCCGUUUGUUGCUAAAUGUUAUUAUUACUUGGGAAAGGAAACGGCUAACUAGGAUCCAUCUUUGAGGACAAAGUCCCCGGAUACCUUAAGGAGACCGGGAGUAAAGUGGAUCUGCUUGGGUCUCCCUGUGGACGAGGUUCUUCCUGCAGUCGGACAGAGUCUCUGCGACCAGCUGAGCCGCCCUCCUCAAAGGAGAAACUACUUGUUGGCGUUUUUUCGGGGUUCAGGUGGUUGAUCCGCUUCUCUGGGUGCUGAGGUCGGGGAGACAGUCCCCGCCUGCCGCCCGCCGCGCUCCCUGCCUUCACGCUGCUGCGAUCUGCUGGCUCUCCCAUAGCCACCCUCCGCACCCAGAGUCACCAUCGCGCGGGGCUGGGCGAACCAUGGAGCUCGGGGCGGGUCCAGCUGGCACAGCCCGACCCCGCCGCAGACCUUCGGGUCGGCUGGCUGUGUCUGGAGCGGAGGCUGACCGAAGGACAGGGGGGCUCACCCAGUGGAAAGUGAAGGCUCUCAGCUUAGAUUUGGAUCCACAGAUUUGGUGCUCCCCCCACCCCCGCCCGAAAGCGUCCUCUGCUAGAGCUGUUCUUCACCACCGCUUGCCUGAGCACACAGCUACAGUGGGUGGGUGGGUCUGGGGAAUCUAGGAUAAGCAGCACCGUCCUCCGCCCUCUCUGGAGCCCUACCUGCACUCUUUAAGCACAGAUCUCCAGACCCUGUCUCCUCACUGCCCCACCCCUCCCAACAAGAGAGAGAGAGAGAGAGAGAGAGAGAAUCUAAAGCCAAUUGUAUCUUUUCCUUAAUGACAGCUGACAGGAGAAGUCUGCUUACAGGUGACAGGGAUCUUGUUUCUUGUGUCUUCUACAGGGCUCUACUUUCUCUCUUCACUCAAAUGUAGGUCUCCAGCCACCACCUCACGGUUAUGUAAAACAAAACAAGUUUCUAAAAGUUUAUCCCAGGAACAUAAUGCUCCAAAAAGUAAAACUUCAGCUUCCUUUGUCUGAAAUAACCAAGCAACAAAGCAGUGCUCUCAUCAGCCAAGUCCCAGUUAACUCUACUGUCUAUCUGGGCCUUGUUUGUGCUGCUAGCGCUGAUAAAAUUAAGUAUUUACAACCGCAGGGCUUUCCCCCCAGAAGAAAUAGAGUAUCUUACAAUUUCAGGGUUCAGGGUUGGUCCUUCUGUAGGCCCUGAGGAUAGAAUGUGAUCCAGUCAGCUACAUGAGCUUGAAGGUAGCUAGUUUCUCCCAGCAUCUCCUCACACCACUCUCUUCCUGUGUACAUGUUAUGUGUGUCUCCAGAUUCUCCCUUCUCCGUGACAUCACCCACAUGAUACAACAACCCUUGAUAACGGCCUCAUUUUAACCUGAUCACCUCUAGACCAUGUCUCCAACUAAAAUCACCCUUUAAUUAGUGGACAUUGGGACCCCAGUAGAUUGUCUUAGGGAGAACAUGAUAUAACUCAUACUAGAUCUCAUCACCAAAAAAAGCAUGUUCUCUCUCUCUCUCUCUCUCUCUCUCUCUCUCUCUCUCUCUCUCUCUCUCUCUCUCUCUCUCUCUCUCUCUCUCUCCCCCCCUCUCUCUCUCUCUCUGUGUGGGUGUGUGUUUACAUUUCAAGGAGAGACAGAGAGAGGGGACAGGUGGAAUGGAGGAGGAGGAGCCAGAGCCAAAGAAGUGUACCGUUCCACAACUCCAUGAGCAAUGAGCAAUGUUAGGAUCAACAUCCAACCAGUAAGGAAAGCAUCAGGAUGUAAAUAGAGGGAGGGAUCUUUGAAAAAACAAAUUUUGCUGUCAAUACUGUUAUUUAGCCACAAAGUCGGCUGCAGCUGUCAAAUUGACAUGACUGGAAAAAGAAACUUAAUUGAUGAAUCACCUCCAUCAUAUUGACCUGUGGGGAUAACUAUGGGGCAUUGUUUUUUACUUAAUAGUUGAUGUAAGAAUACCAGACUAGGGAAAAAAAUUACCAAAUGAAUUCGAAUUCUAUUGUCCCAGCUAUUCCUUUAUUUAAUGUCAUAAGUUCAAUAUAGAAAAGAAUAUGAUAUAAGCUUUAAAGUAAAUUCACAAUAGUAAUAAUGGUAACCUGAGCAUUGGUAGUAACAGAUAACAUUUACUGAGAGCACAAUAAUUGUAAAAUGCAUAAAUUCCAUCCUUCGGUUUUAAUAAAAGUAAUGUUCACAUUGUAUAAUAAUGAAGACUAUAGAAAGCUAACUUGUAUCUUAUAUAUCAGUGACAGGAAUCUAUGAUGAGAGAUUCCAGUUUCACA